rnacentral:rRNA from 1 species
AUUGAACGCUGGCGGCAGGCCUAACACAUGCAAGUCGAGCGGAGAGGCGGACGGGUGAGUCUUGCCUAGGAAUCUGCUUGGUAGUGGGGGAUAACGUCCGGAAAAGGGCGCUAAUACCGCAUACUAUCAGAUUAGCCUAGGUCGGAUUAGCUAGUUGGUGGGGUAAAGGCCUACAAAGGCGACGAUCCUUAACUGGUCUGAGAGGAUGAUCAGUCCACCUGGAACUGAGACCCGGUCCAGACGCCUACGGGAGGCAGCAGUGGGGAAUGUUGGACAAUGGGCGAAAGCCUGAUCCAGCCAUGCCGCGUGUGUGAAGAAGGUCUUCGGAUUGUAAAGCACUUUAAGUUGGGAGGCGUUACCAACAGAAUAAGCACCGGCUAACUUCGUGCCAGCAGCCGCGGUAAUUC